rnacentral:rRNA from 1 species
CAGUAGCCACGGGAAUACGAAGGGUGCAAGCGUUAAUCGGAAUUACUGGGCGUAAAGCGUGCGUAGGCGGUUUGUUAAGUCUGCUGUGAAAUCCCCGGGCUCAACCUGGGAAUGGCAGUGGAUACUGGCAAGCUAGAGUGUGUCAGAGGAUGGUGGAAUUCCCGGUGUAGCGGUGAAAUGCGUAGAGAUCGGGAGGAACAUCAGUGGCGAAGGCGGCCAUCUGGGACAACACUGACGCUGAGGCACGAAAGCGUGGGGAGCAAACAGGAUUAGAUACCCCCGUAGUCCCUGUCUCUUAUAC